GACGAACGCUGGCGGCGUGCUUAACACAUGCAAGUCGAACGGAAAGGCCCUUCGGGGUACUCGAGUGGCGAACGGGUGAGUAACACGUGGGUGGUCUGCCCUGCACUUUGGGAUAAGCCUGGGAAACUGGAUCUAAUACCGAAUAGGACCACGCGCUUCAUGGUGUGUGGUGGAAAGCUUUUGCGGUGUGGGAUGGGCCCGCGGCCUAUCAGCUUGUUGGUGGGGUAAUGGCCUACCAAGGCGACGACGGGGAGCCGGCCUGAGAGGGUGACCGGCCAAACUGGGACUGAGAUACGGCCCAGACUCCUACGGGAGGCAGCAGUGGGGAAUAUUGCACAAUGGGCGCAAGCCGGAUGCAGCGACGCCGCGUGAGGGAUGACGGCCUUCGGGUUGUAAACCUCUUUCGCCAGGGACGAAGCGCAAGUGACGGUACCUGGAGAAGAAGGACCGGCCAACUACGUGCCAGCCGCCGCCGUAA
rnacentral:rRNA from 1 species